UAAGGAGAAGUCUGAAUUUGUUGUGUUAUCUGCUCUGGCUCUGUCAUGUCUCUCUGUAAUUCUCUGUGGAUUGGGUAUAUACAAGGGUUGUGGCAAAAGGCUGUGCACUGUUGCAGGGUCCAGAAAUGAUAUAGAGGAUAAUGAGGCGGGGACUAUAGACAACACAAACCAGAAGGAGGAAUUGAGUGAAUCAAGUCUUGUGUACACAGUGCCAAUCAUCCGGAGAAGCAACACUCCCCGAGAAGGAUUACAGAGUAGAGAAUGUGAUACUGAAUAUAUUGCCAUCAGACACAUGUGAUGAGACCUCUGCACACAUUGUAUCCAUAUACUAACAGGCUGCCCACAUUGUGGCCAUAUAUCUAUGUAUUAUGUCAGGCUUCACAAGCUGUAGACAUAUACCUGCAACAGAAGCUUCUGUUACUUUUGUACUUGGAGAGGAAUGCAGGCCAGCCUCCUCUCCACCGACUAUGGAACCUGGAACUUGAGGGGAUUCUAUGAUUUGGGAGGCAGGUGUCCAGGGUACAUUUAGAGUACUUUUACCCUGGAUUCAGGUUUACCCCAUUUCCAUGAAUUCACAGAGACUCUGAGAACUGAAGGGCCCUGAAGAUUCCUGUGUUUGCAACCUCCUGCUCUAAUGCUGGGACCUCCUGCUGUUAUGUGUCUGCAUAUCUAGUCAUGGUGUAAAGUGUCUGUUAUUGUGAGAGUCAUCUAUUUUCCUUUUGUAAGUCAGGAUGUGAUUAGAAUCUUGUUCAACUAACCAUUGUCUGAUGUUUGUCUCAUUGUAUAACAUUUGUUUCUAUUGAUUAUUUGGUGACUACCCCCUUUUGUUGGAAAUGUAUAAAAGCUGUGUUUUCUGUGCAAUAAAGCAGUUCCUAUUUUGAUCCUCAAGCAUUCAGUCUUGGCUAAUGUUCUUGGGGUACAAUUGGCUGGCAGCGGUGGGAUCUGCUUCCUCCUUACGGAGCAGUUACAAACUACCAGUUGGACCUCGAUGGAAAUGUAGGCUGAAUUCCAGUGGAGAUUGCAGGCAGCACUGGCCUAGUUUGAUGGCCCUGUCUUGGUAGAGGGUAAACUGGUCUGGAAGGAUAUGGAUCGACGGAAACUCUGGAACGAGGCGCUCCAGUUUGAAACAGGACUACCAGGGGAAGUCCCUUCCUACUCCAGAGCAGCAAAACUGGCUCCAGAUUAAUCUAUGAAUGUCAUUCCUGGAAAAACAGCCCCGGGAGGAAUGGAUGGCCGAAUUGGACGGGUUGGUCCAGACAGAGAUGGAGGUGGAUGAAGGGAACCGGGCACUGCGGUGGUAUGCGGCACAGGUGUGUCCAGAGAUGGAGACGGAUGGUCCUACAGAGGGCUAUGACUACGGCAGCCCAGGAUUGCUAUUUGAAAGUCUCACACAGGACCCCCACUCCGGGAGUACAGCAGAGUGGCGUCAGGAGGACAUACUGAAACACAGAGAGCUGAGUCUGAACCUUACAAAAGUACCUGGGCUGAGGGACGAUCUUGAUUAUCUAGCUGUGCAUGAGUGGGAGCUAGAAAAGGCAUAUAAAAGGCUGUCAGAUCUUGUUCAGCGGCAUGCCUCAGAGCCUGCAGAGGGCUAUGGUGCAACAAUCAAGGAUUAAUUGGACUUUUCCUCAGAGGAGUGGCAACCGGCAAUGAGCUACCAUGAGCUGCUAGACCACGAUCAGCAGCCUGGCCCUGAGCUUGCCACACCAGUAGAAGCGCUGGCAACAGGGCAGGGCACCAAUGGUCUCUGUCCAGCACCUGUGAUAUCUCUGGAGUCCCAGGGAGAGGAGGUAGUCGAUUUCAUUACACAGCCACAAGCUCCAGAGAUUGAUAAUUUAAUAGACUUUUCCUCUGAGGAGGGACACACCGGUGAGCCUCCAGAAGAAGAGAUGGCCACAGGGCAGAGCACCCCUGGUCUCUGCUCAGCACCUGCAGCAGCUCCGGGAAGCCAGGGAGAGGAGGUAGCCGACCUGUCUCCACAGCAGCAGAGUCAGUUCCAGAGAGAGGAGGUAGCUGACCUCUCUCUCCCCAGCGGCAGAGCGGUUUCCAGGGAGAAUAUGUAGCCGACCGCUCCCCACAGCAGGAGAGUCAGUUCCAGGGAGAGGAGGUAGCCAACCACUGUCCACAGCGGCAGAGCCAGUUCCAGGGAGAGGAGGUAGCCUUCCUCUCUCCACAGCAGCAGAGCCAUUUCCAGCGAGAGGAGGUAGCCAAACUUUCUCCCCAACUGCAGAGCCAUUUCAAGGAAGAGGAGGUAGCUGAUCUAUAUCCCCAGCAACCAAGGGGUUUCCAGGGAGAGGAGGUAGCCGACCGCUCUCCACAGUGGCAGUGCCAGUUCCAGGAAGAAGAGGUUGCCGAUCUCUCUCGCCAGCGGCAGAACCAGUUCCAGGGAGAGGAGGUAGAUAGCCUCUCUCCCCUGCAACAAAGCAGGGCCAAGGGAGAGGAGGUAUCUGUCCUCUCUCACCAGUAACACCGCAGGGCCCAGGAAGAGGAGGUAGCCGACCUCUCUCCCCAGCAGCUUAGUGUGUUCCAAAAAGAGGAGAUCAGCAUUCUCAUUCCCCAGUGGCAGUGGCCAAAAACAAAAAUGGAAGAAAGGUUUAUCCGACUAACACAGGUCCAAACCAGUGGGUGGUCUGGUACCUGGUUAGUCUACCCCAUGGGGGGGAAGAAAUGUAACAGAAGCUUCCGUUACUUUUGUACUUGGAGAGGAAUGCAGCGCAGCCUCCUCCCCUAGAACUUGAGGGGAUUCUAUCAUUUGGGAGGCGGGUGACCGGGGUACAUUUGGAGUACUUUUACCCUGGAUUCAGAUUUACCCCAUUUCCAUGAAUUCCCAGAGUCUCUGAGAACUGAAGGGCCCUGAAGAUUCCUGUGUUUUGUUGGAGUAUAAGGUGAAAGCCCCCCCCAGACUCAGACUGUUUGACCUGAUUGCAACCUCCUUCUCUGAUGCUGAGACCUCCUACUGUUAUUUGUCUGCAUAUCUAGUCUUGGUGUAAAGUGUCUGUUAUUGUGUGAGUCAUCUAUUGUCCUUUUGUAAGUCAGGAUUUGAUUAGAAUCUUGUUUAACUAACCAUUGUCUGAUGUUUGUCUCAUUGUAUAAUAUUUGUUUCUAUCGAUUAUGUGGUGACUACCCCCUUUUGUUGGAAAUGUAUAAAAGAUGCGUUUUCUGUGCAAUAAAGCAGUUCCUAUUUUGACCCUCAA